GGGGGCUGUGGGGCAGGGAGGAGGUGGGGAGGAGGGGUUGUGGGGGAGGUAUGGGGUAUGAGGUGGGGGAUGUGGUUAUGGGAUGGCAGGGUGGGGGGCUGUGGGGCAGGGAGGAGGUGGGGAGGAGGAGUUGUGGGGGAGGUAUGGGGUAUGAGUUGGGGGACGGGGUUCUCGGGUGGCAGGGUGGGGGGCUGUGGGGCAGGGAGGAGGUGGGGAGGAGGGGUUGUGGGGGAGGUAUGGGGUAUGAGUUGGGGGACGGGGUUCUCGGGUGGCAGGGUGGGGGGCUGUGGGGCAGGGAGGAGGUGGGGAGGAGGGGUUGUGGGGGAGGUAUGGGGUAUGAGGUGGGGGAUGUGGUUAUGGGAUGGCAGGGUGGGGUGCUGUGGGAUAUGUGGGGCAGGGAGAAGGUGGGGAGGAUGGGUUGUGGGAGAGAUAUGAGGUGGGGGACAGGGUGAUGGGGUGGCAGGGUGAGGGGCUGUGAGGUAUGUGGGACAGGGAGGAGGUGGGGAGGAGAGGUUGUGGGGGCGGUAUGGGGUAUGAGGUGGGGGACGGGGUUCUGGGGUGGCAGGGUGGGGGGCUGUGGGGCAGGGAGGAGGUGGGGAGGAGGGGUUGUGGGGGAGGUAUGGGGUAUGAGUUGGGGGACGGGGUUCUCGGGUGGCAGGGUGGGGGGCUGUGGGGCAGGGAGGAGGUGGGGAGGAGGGGUUGUGGGGGAGGUAUGGGGUAUGAGGUGGGGGAUGUGGUUAUGGGAUGGCAGGGUGGGGUGCUGUGGGAUAUGUGGGGCAGGGAGAAGGUGGGGAGGAUGGGUUG